rnacentral:rRNA from 1 species
UUGAAAAGAACUUUGAAGAGAGAGUUCAAGAGUACGUGAAACCGUUCAGGGGUAAACCUAAGAAACCCAAAAGAUCGAACGGGGAGAUUCAUCGUCAGCGGCGCUGGCUUCGCGUCGGUCGGCGAUGUCCCGCGGAGUCCUUGCGGCUCGCGCGCGGGCACGCUACCGUGCGCCGAUGUCCGGCGCUCGUCGUCGUGCACUUCUCCCCAAGUAGAACGUCGCGACCCGCUGGGUGUCGGUCUACGGCCCGGGUGCGGUGUCUGUCGCGUCGCCGGUAAAACGGCACGCGACAAACCCUCGGUCGCCCGGCCGGCUGCUCGGCGGUACGCGCAAGGUAUCAGGCCGCACUAUUCACGGUGCGUCGAGACCGUCGCAAGCGCGCGCCACGGUACUCGGAGGUUACGGACUUCGCGCCGUCCCCGGUCCUGGCCCGCUGUUGGUUACAGUACGGUACACCUUCGACAGGCCUGCGAACGUCUCCCGCGAUCUUCGCGGGAGACCGAUACCGGUCGGCGACGCUACUGCUUUGGGUACUCUUAGGACCCGUCUUGAAACACGGACCAAGGAGUCUAACAUGUACGCGAGUCAUUGGGACUUGUCGCGAGACCUAAAGGCGUAAUGAAAGUGAAGGUCGGCCCUGGCCGUCGAUCUAGGGAGGAUGGGCCGCGUCGCGAUGCGGCCUCGCACUCCCGGGGCGUCUCGUUCUCAUCGCGAGAAGAGGCGCACCCAGAGCGUACACGUUGGGACCCGAAAGAUGGUGAACUAUGCCUGGUCAGGACGAAGUCAGGGGAAACCCUGAUGGAGGUCCGUAGCGAUUCUGACGUGCAAAUCGAUCGUCGGAACUGGGUAUAGGGGCGAAAGACUAAUCGAACCAUCUAGUAGCUGGUUCCCUCCGAAGUUUCCCUCAGGAUAGCUGGCACUCGGCCGUUCCGCACGGAACGCGCGCGAGUCUCAUCUGGUAAAGCGAAUGAUUAGAGGCCUUGGGGCCGAAACGACCUCAACCUAUUCUCAAACUUUAAAUGGGUGAGAUCUCUGGCUUUCUUGAAUUAUGAAGCCACGAGCAUCUCGGAUCAGAGUGCCAAGUGGGCCAUUUUUGGUAAGCAGAACUGGCGCUGUGGGAUGAACCAAACGCAGAGUUAAGGCGCCCAACUCGACGCUCAUGGGACACCAUGAAAGGCGUUGGUUGCUUAAGACAGCAGGACGGUGGCCAUGGAAGUCGGAAUCCGCUAAGGAGUGUGUAACAACUCACCUGCCGAAGCAACUAGCCCUGAAAAUGGAUGGCGCUGAAGCGUCGAGCCUAUACUCUGCCGUCAGCGGCAAGUGGGGCGGCAACCGGGAGCGGGCGUUAGUCUUCUCUCGCGUCGUCACGAAGCCCUGACGAGUAGGAGGGUCGCGACGGUGAGCGCAGAAGGGUCU